AGUGAACGCUGGCGGUAGGCCUAACACAUGCAAGUCGAACGGCAGCACAGUAAGAGCUUGCUCUUACGGGUGGCGAGUGGCGGACGGGUGAGGAAUACAUCGGAAUCUACUUUUUCGUGGGGGAUAACGUAGGGAAACUUACGCUAAUACCGCAUACGACCUACGGGUGAAAGCAGGGGAUAUUCGGACCUUGCGCGAUUGAAUGAGCCGAUGUCGGAUUAGCUAGUUGGCGGGGUAAAGGCCCACCAAGGCGACGAUCCGUAGCUGGUCUGAGAGGAUGAUCAGCCACACUGGAACUGAGACACGGUCCAGACUCCUACGGGAGGCAGCAGUGGGGAAUAUUGGACAAUGGGCGCAAGCCUGAUCCAGCCAUACCGCGUGGGUGAAGAAGGCCUUCGGGUUGUAAAGCCCUUUUGUUGGGAAAGAAAAGCAGCAGGUUAAUACCCCGCUGUUCUGACGGUACCCAAAGAAUAAGCACCGGCUAACUUCGUG
rnacentral:rRNA from 1 species